CGACCUGGUUAGCUCCUAUCUACUUCCCAUGAUCAUGUAGGUGGUUUAUCCAAGGUGAUGCUCACCCACUGCACUCUGGAUGUCCUGAUUCUUGAGAUAUCCCCAAAUGUGGGAAACUCGUCUGCAUAAUUUGUGGUAGUGGGAGACUGGGUUCUCACUCUCCCC